rnacentral:rRNA from 1 species
AGCGAACGCUAGCGGCGGGCCUAACACAUGCAAGUCGAGCGGGGAGCAAUCCCAGCGGCGAACGGGUGAGUAACACGUGGGUAAUGUGCCUUCUGGUGGGGAAUAACCUUGGGAAACCAGGGCUAAUACCGCAUAUCGUGCUUCGGCAUGAAAGCCUUCGGGCGCCAGUAGAGCAGCCUGCGUCCCAUUAUUUAGUCCUAGUUGGUAGGGUAAUGGCCUACCAAGGGUACGAUGGGUAGCUGGUCUGAGAGGAUGAUCAGCCACACUGGAACUGAGACACGGUCCAGACUCCUACGGGAGGCAGCAGUGGGGAAUAUUGCGCAAUGGGGGAAACCCUGACGCAGCCACGCCGCGUGAGUGAUGAAGGCCUUCGGUUGUAAAGCUCUGUCGGGAGGGACGAAGGGAGGCAAUCUCUGACGGUACCUCGCAAGAAAGACACCGGCUAACUCUGUG